CUAAUGAAAGUAUUUAGAAAAUUGGGCAGACUAGAUGGGCCGAAUGGUUCUUAUCUGCCGUCACAUUCUAUGUUUCUAUGUUAUAUAGAGCAACAGACUGUGCAAUAUGCCCUUUAUCCACAACUCUGAUCCUACGGUAAUCCAUCUGCCAUUCCUGGUACGUCUCUGCGGCAGUGACUUUGCAGCAGUUCCAGCCAGAGUUUGUUUACCAGAUAAUUUACAAAUUUCAGACUUCAAAAAUACAAUCUCCUGCCGCAAGAUAGAGAACUGUCUACAGAUUAGACAGCUUCCAAAUCUCCAAAAAGUGGAAUGUGAAACAAAUGCAUAGCAACUAUUACACUGAACUAAGCCUGCCAUUCCAACGAGGUGAAUAAUUUAAAUUAAAAAAAUCUUUUGAAUGUUUAACACCUGGGUAGGCCUAGGCUUAUUUGCUAACAAUAGCUAAUUAUUACUAUGUUAUUAUUUAUAUACCGCCAACAAGUUAUGCAGCGCUUUACAAUGGGUGGACUAACAGACACGUAAUUGUAACCAGACAAGUUGGACACACAGGAACAGAGGGGUUAAGGGCCAUGCUCAAUGAGCUUACAUGCUAGAGGGAGUGGGGUAAAAUGACACAAAAGGUAAGGAUAGUAUUAGACUAAUGAUCGUUGCAAGAGAGGAAUCAGACGAGAGCUAUUAACAGUGUAACCCCUUAAGGACACAUGUGAUGAUUCCCUUUUAUUCCAGACGUUUGGUCCUUAACCCCUUAAGGACCAAACUUCUGGAAUAAAAGGGAAUCAUGACAUGUCACACAUGUCAUGUGUCCUUAAGGGGUUAAUUCAUAUGCUUUUAUGAAGAAGUGGGUUUUUAACGAUUUUUUUGAAGGAGUGGAUACUGGGUAAGCAUCUAACGGAGGAGGGAAGUGAGUUCCACAGGAACGGUGCAGCCCUGGAGAAGUCUUGAAGGUGAGCAUCAGAGUUGGGAGUACGGACAGAAGAUAGACAUAAGUCUCAGCCGGGGAUGUUUUAGCCUCAAGCCAAACAAAGCAUUUGCCUUGGGCGGCAAAAAACAGCUCAGGGGAAAGUGCUCCCUUGCCGGCUGGCCACCCGCCCAGCAGCCACUGGACCCCAGGGAGAGGGAGAACCCCCAGCAUUCCCAAAGGUAAGGAGGCUGGGGGGUUAAAUUAAAAAAAAGUGAGUGUUUUAAUGUGAGAGUGUGUGUCUGUUAGCUAGUGUAUGCGUAUCUGUCAGUGAAUGUGUGUGUGUAUUUAGAAGACGGGGAAGGGUUGGGUAGGAGUGGGGGUGGCGCGGGGGGAGCCUGAGUUUUGUCCUGCCUAUGGCAGCACAAAACCAGGAUACACCACUAGUCUCUGCAGAUUAAAAAAUAGAUGUUUCCUAUUGAU